rnacentral:rRNA from 1 species
AUUGAACGCUGGCGGCAGGCCUAACACAUGCAAGUCGAGCGAACGGCGAACGUGUGAGUAGUGUAUGGGGAUCUGCCCGAUAGAGGUGGCUAACUACUGGAAACGGUGGCUAAUACCGCAUACUAACGGAUGAACCCGUAUGGGAUUAGCUAGUAGGUGGGGUAAAGUCUUACCAAGGCGACGAUCUCUAGCUGGUCUGAGAGGAUGAUCAGCCACAUUGGGACUGAGACACGGCCCAGACUCCUACGGGAGGCAGCAGUGGGGAAUCUUGCACAAUGGGCGCAAGCCUGAUGCAGCCAUGCCGCGUGUAUGAAGAAGGUCUUAGGGUUGUAAAGUACUGUCAGCGGGGAGGCGUUACCCGCAGAAGAAGCACCGGCUAACUCCGUGCCAGCAGCCGCGGUAAUUC